CUUUUACAAUGAAGAGUUUGAUCCUGGCUCAGGAUGAACGCUAGCUACAGGCUUAACACAUGCAAGUCGAGGGGCAGCAUUUUAGUUUGCUUGCAAACUGAAGAUGGCGACCGGCGCACGGGUGAGUAACACGUAUCCAACCUGCCGAUAACUCCGGAAUAGCCUUUCGAAAGAAAGAUUAAUACCGGAUGGCAUACGAAUAUCGCAUGAUAUUUUUAUUAAAGAAUUUCGGUUAUCGAUGGGGAUGCGUUCCAUUAGUUUGUUGGCGGGGUAACGGCCCACCAAGACUACGAUGGAUAGGGGUUCUGAGAGGAAGGUCCCCCACAUUGGAACUGAGACACGGUCCAAACUCCUACGGGAGGCAGCAGUGAGGAAUAUUGGUCAAUGGGCGAGAGCCUGAACCAGCCAAGUAGCGUGAAGGAUGAAGGCUCUAUGGGUCGUAAACUUCUUUUAUAUGGGAAUAAAGUUUUCCACGUGUGGAAUUUUGUAUGUACCAUAUGAAUAAGGAUCGGCUAACUCCGUGCCAGCAGCCGCGGUAAUACGGAGGAUCCGAGCGUUAUCCGGAUUUAUUGGGUUUAAAGGGAGCGUAGGUGGAUUGUUAAGUCAGUUGUGAAAGUUUGCGGCUCAACCGUAAAAUUGCAGUUGAAACUGGGAGUCUUGAGUACAGUAGAGGUGGGCGGAAUUCGUGGUGUAGCGGUGAAAUGCUUAGAUAUCACGAAGAACUCCGAUUGCGAAGGCAGCUCACUAGACUGUCACUGACACUGAUGCUCGAAAGUGUGGGUAUCAAACAGGAUUAGAUACCCUGGUAGUCCACACAGUAAACGAUGAAUACUCGCUGUUUGCGAUAUACAGUAAGCGGCCAAGCGAAAGCAUUAAGUAUUCCACCUGGGGAGUACGCCGGCAACGGUGAAACUCAAAGGAAUUGACGGGGGCCCGCACAAGCGGAGGAACAUGUGGUUUAAUUCGAUGAUACGCGAGGAACCUUACCCGGGCUUAAAUUGCAACAGAAUAUAUUGGAAACAGUAUAGCCGUAAGGCUGUUGUGAAGGUGCUGCAUGGUUGUCGUCAGCUCGUGCCGUGAGGUGUCGGCUUAAGUGCCAUAACGAGCGCAACCCUUAUCUUUAGUUACUAACAGGUCAUGCUGAGGACUCUAGAGAGACUGCCGUCGUAAGAUGUGAGGAAGGUGGGGAUGACGUCAAAUCAGCACGGCCCUUACGUCCGGGGCUACACACGUGUUACAAUGGGGGGUACAGAAGGCGGCUACCUGGUGACAGGAUGCUAAUCCCAAAAACCUCUCUCAGUUCGGAUCGAAGUCUGCAACCCGACUUCGUGAAGCUGGAUUCGCUAGUAAUCGCGCAUCAGCCAUGGCGCGGUGAAUACGUUCCCGGGCCUUGUACACACCGCCCGUCAAGCCAUGAAAGCCGGGGGUACCUGAAGUACGUAACCGCAAGGAGCGUCCUAGGGUAAAACUGGUAAUUGGGGCUAAGUCGUAACAAGGUAGCCGUACCGGAAGGUGCGGCUGGAACACCUCCUUUCU
rnacentral:rRNA from 1 species